UCUUUCUUUGCUGGCGACCGGCGCACGGGUGAGUAACACGUAUCCAACCUGCCCUUUACUCGGGGAUAGCCUUUCGAAAGAAAGAUUAAUACCCGAUAGCAUAAUGAUUCCGCAUGGUUUCAUUAUUAAAGGAUUCCGGUAAAGGAUGGGGAUGCGUUCCAUUAGGUUGUUGGUGAGGUAACGGCCCACCAAGCCUUCGAUGGAUAGGGGUUCUGAGAGGAAGGUCCCCCACAUUGGAACUGAGACGCGGUCCAA
rnacentral:rRNA from 1 species